CAUAAUUUACUGAAAAGAGUUUUUAAAAGAAUCGAUUGGCAAAUCGAUUGGCUUAUGUAGUUUCAAGAUUCAAGAAAAACAAGACUCGCGAUAAUCGAUUGGCAAAUCGAUUAGACCUGUUUUAUAACUUUAAUGAAUCGAUUGGUAAAUCGAUUGAUUAGUUGUUUUUCAGAAACUAUAUAAACUAUUUUCAAUCAUUC
rnacentral:lncRNA from 1 species